rnacentral:rRNA from 1 species
GACGAACGCUGGCGGCGUGCUUAACACAUGCAAGUCGAGCGAGGCCCAUCCUUCGGGGUGGUGCCCUAGCGGCGAACGGGUGAGUAACACGUGGGCAACCUGCCCCUAGCUCUGGGAUAACCCCGGGAAACCGGGCUAAUACUGGAUAUGACUUCGGAAGGCAUCUUCUGGGGUGGAAAGAUUUAUUGGCUAGGGAUGGGCCCGCGGCCUAUCAGCUUGUUGGUGGGGUGAUGGCCUACCAAGGCGGCGACGGGUAGCCGGCCUGAGAGGGCGACCGGCCACACUGGGACUGAGACACGGCCCAGACUCCUACGGGAGGCAGCAGUGGGGAAUAUUGCACAAUGGGCGAAAGCCUGAUGCAGCGACGCCGCGUGAGGGAUGACGGCCU